rnacentral:rRNA from 1 species
UCGGGAAUUUUGGGCAAUGGGCGAAAGCCUGACCCAGCAACGCCGCGUGAAGGAUGAAGUAUUUCGGUAUGUAAACUUCGAAAGAAUAGGAAGAAUAAAUGACGGUACUAUUUAUAAGGUCCGGCUAACUACGUGCCAGCAGCCGCGGUAAUACGUAGGGACCAAGCGUUGUUCGGAUUUACUGGGCGUAAAGGGCGCGUAGGCGGCGCGGUAAGUCACUUGUGAAAUCUCUGAGCUUAACUCAGAACGGCCAAGUGAUACUGCAGUGCUAGAGUGCAGAAGGGGCAAUCGGAAUUCUUGGUGUAGCGGUGAAAUGCGUAGAUAUCAAGAGGAACACCUGAGGUGAAGACGGGUUGCUGGGCUGACACUGACGCUGAGGCGCGAAAGCUAGGGGAGCAAACGGGAUUAGAUACCCCGGUAGUCCCUGAGCGGGCUGGCAAGGCGCAU